rnacentral:rRNA from 1 species
UACGUACUGUGCGAACGUUAUUCGGAAUUACUGGGCUUACAGGGUGCGUAGGCGGCCAAUUAAGUAGGGUGUGAAAGGCCUCGGCCUAACCGAGGCAUUGCGCUCUAAACUGAUCGGCUUGAGUGAGAUAGGGGUGUGCGGAACUUCCAGUGGAGCGGUGAAAUGUGUUGAUAUUGGAAGGAACGCCGGUGGCGAAAGCGGCACACUGGGUCUCAACUGACGCUGAGGCACGAAAGCCAGGGGAGCGAACGGG